UACGGGGGGGCAAGCGUUGUUCGGAAUUACUGGGCGUAAAGGGCUCGUAGGCGGCCAACUAAGUCAGACGUGAAAUCCCUCGGCUUAACCGGGGAACUGCGUCUGAUACUGGAUGGCUUGAGUUCGGGAGAGGUGAGUGGAACUGCGAGUGUAGAGGUGAAAUUCGUAGAUAUUCGCAAGAACACCAGUGGCGAAGGCGGCUCACUGGCCCGAUACUGACGCUGAGGCACGAAAGCGUGGGGAGCAAACAGG
rnacentral:rRNA from 1 species